rnacentral:rRNA from 1 species
CGGACGGGUGAGUAACACGUAGGUAACCUGCCGCGCAGAGGGGGAUAACGACUAGAAAUGGUCGCUAACACCGCAUGGUACUAGAAAAGGGGGACUUUUUCUGGUUAAAACCUUGGUGCUGCGCGAGGGGCCUGCGUCCGAUUAGUUAGUUGGUGAGGUAAAGGCUCACCAAGACGAUGAUCGGUAGCUGGUCUGAGAGGAUGAUCAGUCACACGGGAACUGAGACACGGUCCCG